rnacentral:rRNA from 1 species
UAACACAUGCAAGUCGAGCGGCAGCGGAAAGUAGCUUGCUACUUUGCCGGCGAGCGGCGGACGGGUGAGUAAUGUCUGGGGAUCUGCCUGAUGGAGGGGGAUAACUACUGGAAACGGUAGCUAAUACCGCAUGACCUCGAAAGAGCAAAGUGGGGGACCUUCGGGCCUCACGCCAUCGGAUGAACCCAGAUGGGAUUAGCUAGUAGGUGGGGUAAUGGCUCACCUAGGCGACGAUCCCUAGCUGGUCUGAGAGGAUGACCAGCCACACUGGAACUGAGACACGGUCCAGACUCCUACGGGAGGCAGCAGUGGGGAAUAUUGCACAAUGGGCGCAAGCCUGAUGCAGCCAUGCCGCGUGUGUGAAGAAGGCCUUCGGGUUGUAAAGCACUUUCAGCGAGGAGGAAGGCAUUGUGGUUAAUAACCGCAGUGAUUGACGUUACUCGCAGAAGAAGCACCGGCUAACUCCGUGCCAGCAGCCGCGGUAAUACGGAGGGUGCAAGCGUUAAUCGGAAUUACUGGGCGUAAAGCGCACGCAGGCGGUUUGUUAAGUCAGAUGUGAAAUCCCCGCGCUUAACGUGGGAACUGCAUUUGAAACUGGCAAGCUAGAGUCUUGUAGAGGGGGGUAGAAUUCCAGGUGUAGCGGUGAAAUGCGUAGAGAUCUGGAGGAAUACCGGUGGCGAAGGCGGCCCCCUGGACAAA